rnacentral:rRNA from 1 species
GUUNNNUCCUGGCUCAGAUUGAACGCUGGCGGCAGGCCUAACACAUGCAAGUCGAACGGUAACAGGAAGCAGCUUGCUGCUUCGCUGACGAGUGGCGGACGGGUGAGUAAUGUCUGGGGAUCUGCCUGAUGGAGGGGGAUAACUACUGGAAACGGUAGCUAAUACCGCAUAACGUCGCAAGACCAAAGAGGGGGACCUUCGGGCCUCUUGCCAUCAGAUGAACCCAGAUGGGAUUAGCUAGUAGGUGGGGUAACGGCUCACCUAGGCGACGAUCCCUAGCUGGUCUGAGAGGAUGACCAGCCACACUGGAACUGAGACACGGUCCAGACUCCUACGGGAGGCAGCAGUGGGGAAUAUUGCACAAUGGGCGCAAGCCUGAUGCAGCCAUGCCGCGUGUAUGAAGAAGGCCUUCGGGUUGUAAAGUACUUUCAGCGGGGAGGAAGGCGAUGCGGUUAAUAACCGUGUCGAUUGACGUUACCCGCAGAAGAAGCACCGGCUAACUCCGUGCCAGCAGCCGCGGUAAUACGGAGGGUGCAAGCGUUAAUCGGAAUUACUGGGCGUAAAGCGCACGCAGGCGGUCUGUCAAGUCGGAUGUGAAAUCCCCGGGCUCAACCUGGGAACUGCAUCCGAAACUGGCAGGCUUGAGUCUUGUAGAGGGGGGUAGAAUUCCAGGUGUAGCGGUGAAAUGCGUAGAGAUCUGGAGGAAUACCGGUGGCGAAGGCGGCCCCCUGACAAAG